rnacentral:rRNA from 1 species
GUGCCAGCAGCCGCGGUAAUUCCAGCUCCAAUAGCGUAUAUUAAAGUUGUUGUGGUUAAAAAGCUCGUAGUUGAACCUUGGGCCUGGCUGGCCGGUCCGCCUCACCGCGUGCACUGGUCCGGCCGGGCCUUUCCCUCUGUGGAACCCCAUACCCUUCACUGGGCGUGGCGGGGAAACAGGACAUUUACUUUGAAAAAAUUAGAGUGCUCCAGGCAGGCCUAUGCUCGAAUACAUUAGCAUGGAAUAAUAAAAUAGGACGCGCGGUUCUAUUUUGUUGGUUUAUAGGACCGCCGUAAUGAUUAAUAGGGACAGUCGGGGGCAUCAGUAUUCAACUGUCAGAGGUGAAAUUCUUGGAUCAGUUGAAGACUAACUACUGCGAAAGCAUUUGCCAAGGAUGUUUUCAUUAAUCAGGAACGAAAGUUAGGGGAUCGAAGACGAUCAGAUACCGUCGUAGUCUUAACCAUAAACUAUGCCGACUAGGGAUCGGACGGUGUUAUUCAUGACCCGUUCGGCACCUUACGAGAAAUCAAAGUGCUUGGGCUCCAGGGGGAGUAUGGGUCGCAAGGCUGAAACUUAAAGAAAUUGACGGAAGGGCACCACCAGGGGUGGAGCCUGCGGCUUAAUUUGACUCAACACGGGGAAACUCAUCAGGUCCAGACACAAUAAGGAUUGACAGAUUGAGAGCUCUUUUCUUGAUUUUUGUGGGUGGUGGUUGCAUGACCGUUCUUAGUUGGUGGGGGUGACUUUGUUCUGCUUUAAUUGCGAUAACGAACGAGACUUUAACCUGCUAAAUAGGCCCGCAUCGCUCCGGCCAGGUGCGGCUGGC